UUUCUUAUGCAAAUCAAAUAAAAUAAAAAGGCUAAAAUACAGAAAACCUCCCAUAAAUAUCCCUUUUUUCUAUUUUCUGCCUUGAUUUUCAAAAUUUACAUUUUAGCCUCUCAAAAUUUUAAGUUGAUGCAUUUAGCCUCCUCUCUAUCAAGGUUCCAUCACUAUUCUGUCUUUUUUUUAUAAUUUAUACUGAAUAUAUCUUUGAAAAUGUUGGCAUUCGGUUAAAUCGAAUCGGGUACGCCCAUAAGCGGGUUCGAUCCGACGGAUAUUAUAUUAUCUAAUUAGAUUGGAAUUAAUCUCGCUUUCAAAUUAGAAAGUUAGUUAGAGAUAAAUCCUAAUCAUAUUAGGAUAACAAUUAAUAACCGAUUUGGCCUUAUCUCUAACACUAUUAGGAUUUUGGAAUCCCUUAUAAAUAUGCGGGCGAUCCCACAUAACGUAACAGAUAGAAUAAGAACGGAAAAAGAAAGAGAAUAAAAAACAAAAAGAGAAAAUCCACUUCCUCCAUUAACCUAUUAUUCUAGAGGGAUUUGAACGGUGGAUUUGCGAUCGUGCUCGUUUGUAGUUCGAUCCACCGCGAGUUCGGAGCGCAAGAAGACUUUCAAGGACGAUCCAAGGACACGUGAACCAACCUCUACGAUCUGGGCUCAUCGCGUUCUAGCGCGAAUCGCUUCCGCAAAAAAGGUACGAACGAAUACUUCCGCUGCGUUCUACCGAAAAUAACAGAAAUAUAUCAAUUUUUUUUUCUUACAGAACAAAGUAAAGGCAAAUGUACAUUUCACCCUCUCCAUUUGCCCCGUAACUUCUGAAAAUAUUUUUAAAAUUUUAAAGAAACAAAAUAUAGAUUUUUGAAAGUCUAUAUAUAUAUAUAUAUAUAUAUAUAGAGAAAAAUUUUUUGUAUUUUAGCCGAAAUAAAAUAUACCUUGUAACAUGCUAAGAUGAAUAAAUUGGGUUUUUAUUGGGGUAAAUGGCAACCUUGUGUCGGAUCGUUGGCGCUAACCAUUAAUUUCAAAUGUUCGAGCUAUUAGAAAUACGCAACCAAUUCACUUAAAUCGUACAGAUACAAUGCCCACGGAUAUCAAUUGUGAUUCGGCCCCACCCGGCCUCACGCUACUUUGAACAUGACUCUGCAUUUCCAGCCUCACGCCAUUUCAAAGGUGACUCGGCCCAACCCGGCCUCCCGCCACAGGGCGGGAUGCUGGCCAUUUAAGCCAACACCUUGGGCUUUUCAUUUGUUGGGCCUCAACACUCAGAGAAUCUAAGAAAAGGCCCAAUUUGCCAAUUUGCCUCAACAAUGUAUAGCGUGCAAGGUUGAUUACUUUGUCUGAAAUAACUU
rnacentral:lncRNA from 1 species